rnacentral:rRNA from 1 species
UACGUAGGGGGCAAGCGUUGUCCGGAAUCAUUGGGCGUAAAGAGCGCGUAGGCGGCCCUGUAAGUCCGCUGUGAAAGUCAAGGGCUCAACCCUUGAAUGCCGGUGGAUACUGCAGGGCUAGAGUCCGGAAGAGGCGAGUGGAAUUCCUGGUGUAGCGGUGAAAUGCGCAGAUAUCAGGAGGAACACCAGUGGCGAAGGCGGCGCUCUGGGCCGGAACUGACGCUGAGGAGCGAAAGCGUGGGUAGCAAACAGG